rnacentral:ribozyme from 1 species
UACCCAGCAACUCCUAUGCCUACCUCCUCGUGGUACCGGCCGGAAACUACGAGCAACCUUAGGGAAGAUCGGGUAACCAACCCCGCUGGAAACUUUGGUCGUAGGCUGACAGGGAAGA